CCCCUCUCAGGGUCGCACCUGGAGAGUUUCCAGUCCUCUACCAGUCUCGGCGGUGGGAGGGAGAGUCAAGCAGAGGCCUGUCCAUUCCAUUCCUAACUUGGACAGUGGCUAGUGAGUGGAAGGCGAUCGUCUACAAGU